UACGUAGGGUGCAAGCGUUGUCCGGAAUUAUUGGGCGUAAAGAGCUUGUAGGCGGUUUGUCGCGUCUGCUGUGAAAUUUCGGGGCUCAACCCCGAACUUGCAGUGGGUACGGGCAGACUAGAGUGUGGUAGGGGAGACUGGAAUCCCUGGUGAGCGGUGAAAUGCGCAGAUAUCAGGAGGAACACCGAUGGCGAAGGCAGGUCUCUGGGCCAUAACUGACGCUGAGAAGCGAAAGCAUGGGGAGCGAACAGG
rnacentral:rRNA from 1 species